UACGGGAGGCAGCAGUGGGGAAUAUUGCACAAUGGGCGCAAGCCUGAUGCAGCCAUGCCGCGUGUAUGAAGAAGGCCUUCGGGUUGUAAACCUCUUUCAGCAGGGACGAAGCGAAAGUGACGGUACCUGCAGAAGAAGCACCGGCCAACUACGUGCCAGCAGCCGCGGUAAUACGUAGGGUGCAAGCGUUGUCCGGAAUUAUUGGGCGUAAAGAGCUCGUAGGCGGUCUGUUGCGUCGGCUGUGAAAACCCCGGGGCUCAACUCCGGGCCUGCAGCCGAUACGGGCAGACUAGAGUUCGGCAGGGGAGACUGGAAUUCCUGGUGUAGCGGUGAAAUGCGCAGAUAUCAGGAGGAACACCGGUGGCGAAAGGCGGGUCUCUGGGGCCGAUACUGGACGCUGAGGAGCGAAAGCGUGGGAGCGACAGGGAUUAGAGUACC
rnacentral:rRNA from 1 species